rnacentral:rRNA from 1 species
CACAUGCAAGUCGAACGGGAAAUAUUUCAUUGAGACUUCGGUGGAUUUGAUCUAUUUCUAGUGGCGGACGGGUGAGUAACGCGUGGGUAACCUGCCUUAUACAGGGGGAUAACAGUCAGAAAUGGCUGCUAAUACCGCAUAAGCGCACAGAGCUGCAUGGCUCAGUGUGAAAAACUCCGGUGGUAUAAGAUGGACCCGCGUUGGAUUAGCUUGUUGGCGGGGUAACGGCCCACCAAGGCGACGAUCCAUAGCCGGCCUGAGAAGGUGAACGGCCACAUUGGGACUGAGACACGGCCCAGACUCCUACGGGAGGCAGCAGUGGGGAAUAUUGCACAAUGGGGGAAACCCUGAUGCAGCGACGCCGCGUGAAGGAAGAAGUAUCUCGGUAUGUAAACUUCUAUCAGCAGGGAAGAUAGUGACGGUACCUGACUAAGAAGCCCCGGCUAACUACGUGCCAGCAGCCGCGGUAAUACGUAGGGGGCAAGCGUUAUCCGGAUUUACUGGGUGUAAAGGGAGCGUAGACGGUGUGGCAAGUCUGAUGUGAAAGGCAUGGGCUCAACCUGUGGACUGCAUUGGAAACUGUCAUACUUGAGUGCCGGAGGGGUAAGCGGAAUUCCUAGUGUAGCGGUGAAAUGCGUAGAUAUUAGGAGGAACACCAGUGGCGAAGGCGGCUUACUGGACGGUAACUGACGUUGAGGCUC